rnacentral:rRNA from 1 species
AGAGUUUGAUCCUGGCUCAGGACGAACGCUGGCGGCGUGCCUAAUACAUGCAAGUCGAGCGCGGGAAGCGAGCUGAUCCCUUCGGGGUGACGCUCGUGGAACGAGCGGCGGACGGGUGAGUAACACGUGGGCAACCUGCCUGUAAGAUCGGAAUAACUUCGGGAAACCGGAGCUAAUGCCGGGUAAUACCUUCUUUCGCAUGAAGGAAGGUUGAAAGAUGGCUUUUAGCUAUCACUUACAGAUGGGCCCGCGGCGCAUUAGCUAGUUGGUGAGGUAACGGCUCACCAAGGCGACGAUGCGUAGCCGACCUGAGAGGGUGAUCGGCCACACUGGGACUGAGACACGGCCCAGACUCCUACGGGAGGCAGCAGUAGGGAAUCUUCCGCAAUGGACGAAAGUCUGACGGAGCAACGCCGCGUGAACGAUGAAGGUCUUCGGAUCGUAAAGUUCUGUUGUUAGGGAAGAACAAGUACCGUGCGAAUAGAGCGGUACCUUGACGGUACCUAACGAGGAAGCCCCGGCUAACUACGUGCCAGCAGCCGCGGUAAUACGUAGGGGGCAAGCGUUGUCCGGAAUUAUUGGGCGUAAAGCGCGCGCAGGCGGUUCCUUAAGUCUGAUGUGAAAGCCCACGGCUCAACCGUGGAGGGUCAUUGGAAACUGGGGAACUUGAGGACAGAAGAGGAGAGUGGAAUUCCACGUGUAGCGGUGAAAUGCGUAGAUAUGUGGAGGAACACCAGUGGCGAAGGCGACUCUCUGGUCUGUUUCUGACGCUGAGGUGCGAAAGCGUGGGUAGCAAACAGGAUUAGAUACCCUGGUAGUCCACGCCGUAAACGAUGAGUGCUAGGUGUUAGGGGGCUUCCACCCCUUAGUGCUGAAGUUAACGCAUUAAGCACUCCGCCUGGGGAGUACGACCGCAAGGUUGAAACUCAAAGGAAUUGACGGGGCCCGCACAAGCGGUGGAGCAUGGUGGUUUAAUUCGAGCAACGCGAAGAACCUUACCAGGUCUUGACAUCCUUGGACCCUCCUAGAAGAUAGGAGCUUCCCUUCGGGGACAACUGACAGGGGGGUGCAUGG